UUCAUGCAGGUGCUGUCAGAGAGUGAGGGUAAAUUACCCCUCACUCACAUGACCUCAGUACCCCAUGCACUCAAUUAAAGACCUAAUGAGUCACCCAGCCAACCACGUUAGACAUGCAAUAAAUGAAUAAGGCCGCACUGGCACCAGUGAUGUCACCUGUAUUUGAAAAUAAAAGGAUAGGGCCACAAAACCGUCAGGGCUCUGGAGACCAAGUAUAAGUGAGCUGAACUUUAACCUGCAUGGAGUAGCAGGUCUGAAGUCGUAGACAGCCUGGGUUGUUGAAGGCUCUAUUGUGAUGUGUUAUGGGGGUUGGCACCUAUGCUCAUACAGUUGUUCUUGCUGUAUUCAGACUUUUAAAUGAUACUCAAGGGACCCACGCUGGACAGAUGAAAAGAAUUUACAAUGAUGUGUGAGCUGCGAUGAGAGGAACGAUCAGAAAAUAAAAUUUGUCAUGUCAAACAGCAAUGGAAGACCAAGACUUUUAUAGAUCUUAUGUUCCCGGAGCAAAAGUUAACCUCAGAUGGAGUGAGAGCGUAAAUUUGGCUCACAUGGAUUUAUGAAAGAGAAGAUUAUUACCUUUUCAAGUAAGAAAGAAGUUAUGCAGGUGUGAAAUGACAUGAGGGACGUCAGUUGCAUUUUGAAAUUCUCUGUGAGGAAGCAGAAGACAUGUAAAUAUUACAAAAUAAGCUGUUGGAUCUGCAUAUGCCGAGUGCUGUUGCUUAAGGCAGAGUACGGAGACCUCCCACCAGCUCAACCAGUGACAAAGCUGCAUGACAAUGGCAGGACUGAUCUGUCAUGGGCUGCCUUGUCAGGAGAGCUCACCUCCUGGGGCUCCAUCAGAAUAUAUGAUAGGGAGAGGCACAGGCCUGAGGUGGACACACCCUGACCGCAAACUGCAGACCAUUCCGCUCAACAAGGCCUGUGCUGUUCUUGCCUGUCAGCUGCAAUCUUAGGCAGCAUGCUAAGAAAGUAACAAUGUUCUGCCUUGAAAAUUCAUUUUAAAAUGGUAGGCGGUUGAAAUGUGUAUGUAAUUUUACUGGUCAAAGGCUAUUAUGUUCCUCUUGCGUGACCAGGAAAAAGCAUACAAACUGUCACCCGACUUUGCAAAUGCUGAGUAAACCAGAAGUAAUGAGGCCCGGGCCUACGCAAGUGUGCAGUAAAUCUACAUUCUAACUGACAACAUCCACUUUAGAGGGUGUUAAUGUUUCACACCUUGAGGCCAAGAGCCUGUAAUGAAACAGCUUCCUUUUGCAAACACUCACACCCAUCUCCCCUGGUGAGUGUUACUCAAGAUUUUUUUUUAAAGACCCUUGGCUUUCAUAUUUCCCAACAAGAUUGUGGUUCGUUGGUUGGUUGGUCCUUCAGUUUUGAUUUCUGGCCAUAUACAUGGUAAAAUCCUGAGACCCAAGUCGUGUUUUAAAUCUGCAAAUCAGUAGGCUUUUUUUUCCCUCUCAGUAAAUGUAUCCAAGAUGCAGUUAUCUAUGGCCGGUUUUAAACCUGGGCUGGUAAUGCCUGACUUUGGUUGAAAGUAAAUCAGAUUCUUAUUGGCCUCAAAGGACACUCAUAAAAAUCAGUAUCUAGCUUUGAAUUGCCCUUUAUGGUUAUGUAUGAAAUAAUUACAGUUGUUUUUUUUUAUUUGGACUCAUUUUUAUGUAUUUGUAUAUUUUGUAUAUUAUAUUUGCCAUAUCUUUAAUACUUUUAUUCAGCAAGGACAAAUUAAAAUAUUUUUUAAAAUGUUAUUCUGAAUUAAAGAAUCCUGGGGGAAAAUGUAUCACCAUUUCCACAAAAAAUUAAGCAGCACAACUGUUUUCAACAUUGAUAAUAAUAAGAAAUGUUUCUUGAGCACCAAAUCAGUUCAAAAUGAUUUCUAAGGAUCAUGUGACACUGACGACUGGAAUAAUGGAUGCUGAAAAUUCAGCUUUGCCAUCACAGAAAUAAAUUACAUCUAAAAUAUAUUAAAAUAGGAAACAGUCUUUUUUAUAAUAAUUAAAUUUCACUUUUUUUUUUUUUUUUUUUUUUUUUUUUUACUGUAUUUUUGAUCAAGUCAGUGAGCACAAUAGACUUAUUUCAAGGGAAAACUUUUAAAAAAUCUUACAGAUCCCAACAGUAUCGUUUAUCGAACAGUAUUUUAGGUUAAAAUAAUAAAACAUUGGCUUAUGAGAACAAAAGUAUAUUAUCUUUUUGCUGUUAGGUAUAGUGUUAUGUGUAUGGGAAUUGUAAAGAAUUUCUUGUUCCCUAACAAUUCAGAUACCCUAAUGGUACCAUUAAUGGUUCUUUUAGUAAUAAACAUUUGAACAAAGAAAAAUCUACUCCACUGAAAAAUUAUGAUUUCAAUUAUAAUUAAAACUGUUCUUGCAAAAGUGUGUUUCCGCAUACUUUUUCAAGGCUGCAUAAUGAAAUUCAGUAAUCGGCCUUAACUAUUUUAAAUAGCAAUAUGGUUACAGUUUUUUCCAUGAUUCACUUUUGACAUUCUACUAACUAUAAAGUAACUUUGCAACUACAUGUCAACUCUCAUUAGAGUAUUAGUAGACUGUAAUAGACUGUUAGUAGACUGAUAGGUUAGGGUUAGGUGUUAUGGUUUGAGUAAGUAGAAUGUAGUUGCAAAGUUACUUAUAUCUGAGUAUUUUAGUAUUUCAUUCGCAUCAACCAUUAAUGUAACCGAACGUCAUUUGCUUCAAGUAUUUUUAUAAUAGAUCAGCCCUAGUUGAGAAUAUAUAACAAUGGCUGAUUAUCCAGUAUUGUUCAAUGAA